rnacentral:rRNA from 1 species
AACGAACGCUGGCGGCAUGCCUAACACAUGCAAGUCGAACGAGACCUUCGGGUCUAUUGGCGCACGGGUGCGUAACGCGUGGGAACCUGCCCUUAGGUUCGGAAUAACUCCCCGAAAGGGGUGCUAAUACCGGAUAAUGUCUUCGGACCAAAGAUUUAUCGCCUUUGGAUGGGCCCGCGUUGGAUUAGCUAGUUGGUAGUGUAAAAGCCUACCAAGGCGACGAUCCAUAGCUGGUCUGAGAGGAUGAUCAGCCACACUGGGACUGAGACACGGCCCAGACUCCUACGGGAGGCAGCAGUGGGGAAUAUUGGACAAUGGGCGAAAGCCUGAUACAGCAAUGCCGCGUGAGUGAUGAAGGCCUUAGGGUUGUAAAGCUCUUUUACCCGGGAUGAUAAUGACAGUACCGGGAGAAUAAGCGCCGGCUAACUCCGUG